UACGUAGGGGGCAAGCGUUGUCCGGAAUCAUUGGGCGUAAAGCGCGUGUAGGCGGCUUGUUAAGUCGGGUGUGAAAGCCCUCAGCUCAACUGAGGAAGUGCGCCCGAAACUGGCGAGCUUGAGUGUCGGAGAGGAUGGCGGAAUACCCCAAGUAGAGGUGAAAUUCGUAGAUAUGGGGUGGAACACCGGUGGCGAAGGCGGCCAUCUGGACGACAACUGACGCUGAGACGCGAAAGCGUGGGGAGCAAACAGGG
rnacentral:rRNA from 1 species